rnacentral:ncRNA from 2 species
UGAUGGGCGUUGGAGCAGCGGUUCGACGCAUGGGUUUCUCUUUAAUCCUUCCGACUUCCCCAAGCCCAGCGCACUCAGGUUCCGCUCCAAGUGCGGGACCCGCCCGGGGUGUGUCGGGGGUACUCGGCCGGAGGCGGCCGGUGAGUGAGGCUUACAGGGCCCCGGGACCAAGGAAGAAGUAAGGGGACUAGUGCCAUAGUGUCUUUGAACUCAUACCCCAUAUGAAGAGAACGUCAAAGAGGCUGGAUCACCUAAAGGGUUUAGAGAAAGUUUGGAAUUGGCUCAGAUCUGUCUUUUAUCAUAAAAGAUGAACUUGAAACCCAGA